GCGCGGUUAGUUUAGUGGUUAGAAUUCUCGCUUCCCAAUCCCACAUUGGAUCAGCGAGGGACCCGAGUUCGAACCUCGGAUCGCGCA